rnacentral:rRNA from 1 species
GACGAACGCUGGCGGCGCGCUUAACACAUGCAAGUCGAACGGAAAGGCCUGCUUUCCCUUGUGGAUUGCGGGUACUCGAGUGGCGAACGGGUGAGUAACACGUGAGUGAUCUGCCCCCAACUUGGGUAUAAGCCUGGGAAACUGGGUCUAAUUCCCGAUAGGACUGCAGGGUGGUGCCUGUGGUGGAAAACGAUUUUCUAGUGGUUGGGGAUGAGCUCGCGGCCUAUCAGCUUGUUGGUGGGGUAAUGGCCUACCAAGGCGGCGACGGGUAGCCGGCCUGAGAGGGUGGACGGCAACAUUGGGACUGGGAUACGGCCCAGACUCCUACGGGAGGCAGCAGUGGGGAAUAUUGCACAAUGGGCGGAAGCCUGAUGCAGCGACGCCGCGUGGGGGAUGACGGCCUUCGGGUUGUAAACUCCUUUGGACCGCGAGGAAGCCACCUGGUUGGAAGGGUGGUGACGGUAGUGUUAGAAGAAGCACCGGCUAACUACGUG